rnacentral:misc_RNA from 1 species
GAUGAAGAACGUAGCGAAAUGCGAUAAGUAAUGUGAAUUGCAGAAUUCCGUGAAUCAUCGAAUUUUUGAACGCACAUUGCGCCCCCUGGUAUUCCGGGGGGCAUGCCUGUUCGAGCGUCAUUUCACCACUCAAGCCUCGCUUGGUAUUGGGCAUCGCGGUCCGCCGCGCGCCUCAAAUCGACCGGCUGGGUCUUCUGUCCCCUAAGCGUUGUGGAAACUAUUCGCUAAAGGGUGUUCGGGAGGCUACGCCGUAAAACAACCCCAUUUCUAAGGUUGACCUCGGAUCAGGUAGGGAUACCCGCUGAACUUAAGCAUAUCAAUAAGCGGAGGA